UAUCUACUAUGUAGCGAAACCACUGCCAAGGGAACGGGCUUGGAAAGAUUAGCGGAGAAAGAAGACCCUGUUGAGCUUGACUCUAGUCUGGCACUGUGAGGUGACAUGAGAGGUGUAGCAUAAGUGGGAGAUGGCAACAUCGCCGGUGAAAUACCACUACUUUCAUUGUUUCUUUACUUACUCGGUUAGGUGGAGCGCGUGAGUCGUGGUAUAACAACCCGGCGUCAUGGUGUUCUCGAGCCAAGCAUUUUAGGGUUGUGUUCGCGCCGCGGCUCCAUGUCCGUGCGCCACAGAGUGCGGUGCGUGUGGGUGCAAGCCUGCACGUGCCGUGCGUCCCGUGUGCGUCGGCUCGUCUGCGAGUGUGGCGCAGUUUACUCCCUCGCGUGAUCCGAUUCGAGGACACUGCCAGGCAGGGAGUUUGACUGGGGCGAGACAUCUGUCAAAGAAUAACGCAGGUGUCCUAAGGCCAGCUCAGUGAGGACAGAAACCUCGCGUAGAGCAAAAGGGCAAAAGCUGGCUUGAUCCCGAUGUUCAGUACGCAUAGGGACUGUGAAAGCACGGCCUAUCGAUCCUUUUGGCUUGGAGAGUUUCCAGCAAGAGGUGUCAGAAAAUUUAUCACAGGGAUAACUGGGUUGUGGCGGCCAAGCGUUCAUAACGACGUCGCUUUUUGAUCCCUCGAUGUCGGCUCUUCCUAUCAUUGCGAAGCAGAAUUCGCCAAGCGUUGGUUUGUUCAUCCACUAAUAGGGAACGUGAGCUGGGUUUAGACCAUCAUGAGACUGGUUAGUUUUGCCCUACUGAUGACUGUGUCGUUGCAAUAGUAAUCCUGCUCAGUACUAGAGGAAACGCAGGUUCGGACAUUUGGUUCACGCACUCGGCCGAGCGACCGGUGGUGCAAAGCUACCAUCUGUGGGAUUACGCCUGAACGCCUCUAAGGCCGAAUCCCGUCUAGCCAUUGUGGCAACGAUAUCGCAUAGGAGUCCCGAGGACCGAAAGGCUCGAAAAUACGUGACUUUACUAGGCGCGGUCGACCCACGUGGCGCCGCGCCGUACGGGCCCAACUUGUUUGCCGGACGAGGCAUUCGGGUGGCACUGUCUGGGAUCUGUUCCAGGUGCCGCCCUGCCUCUACCGGUCGACCAUGGGUGUCUAUAUUUCGAUGUCGGGACUCGGAAUCGUCUGUAGACAACUUAGGUACUGGGCAGGGUGUUGUACUCGGUAGAGCAGUUGCCACGCUGCGAUCUGUUGAGACUCAGCCCGGGCUUGGGGGAUUCGUCUUGUCGCGAGACGAGA